GUGGGGAAUAUUGGACAAUGGGCGAAAGCCUGAUCCAGCCAUGCCGCGUGUGUGAAGAAGGUCUUCGGAUUGUAAAGCACUUUAAGUUGGGAGGAAGGGCAGUAAGUUAAUACCUUGCUGUUUUGACGUUACCGACAGAAUAAGCACCGGCUAACUUCGUGCCAGCAGCCGCGGUAAUACGAAGGGUGCAAGCGUUAAUCGGAAUUACUGGGUGUAAAGCGCGCGUAGGUGGUUCAGCAAGUUGGAGGUGAAAUCCCCGGGCUCAACCUGAGAACUGCCUCCAAAACUACUGAGCUAGAGUACGGUAGAGGGUAGUGGAAUUUCCUGUGUAGCGGUGAAAUGCGUAGAUAUAGGAAGGAACACCAGUGGCGAAGGCGACUACCUGGACUGAUACUGACACUGAGGUGCGAAAGCGUGGGGAGCAAACAGGAUUAGAUACCCGGGUAGUCC
rnacentral:rRNA from 1 species